UACACUACGUAAGUGGCCGAGAUCGGAUUUCCAGCGCCGUCGCUAGAGAAUUAAAGUAAUCGGAUUUUCCGGAGGCGCGAGGCGGCGGAGUGAUGGCCGCUAUCAAGGAGCUGACACGCGAUCUAGAGAACAAAGCCAACGAUUUCAGAAAACUUGAGAAAGAUAUUCAGAAGAACCAGCAAGUGAAAAAGAAGUACACCAUUCAGCUCGGCGAAAACGAGCUCGUGCUCAAGGAACUGGAUUUGUUGAACGAGGACACGAAUGUGUACAAAUUGAUUGGUCCGGUGCUAGUGAAGCAGGAUUUGGCUGAGGCUAAUGCCAAUGUUCGGAAGCGGAUUGAAUAUAUCUCUGCCGAAUUAUUGCCAAGCUACAACAAAGAAUCCAGACUCUUCAAGCUGGAAAAGCAAAGGCCUAAUAUGGAAAGGAAUACGUGCUAGCCAUAGAAAUGCUCAAAUUUGGUAUCAAAUGAACUCUCUAGAGAUGUCACGUUUAUAGAAGAAUAUUCUCAUGAUUACAGGUUUCUGUAAAAGUGAUGGUUGUUUUCAAAUGUCUGAAUUUGGAGAACCGUCUUCGAUGCCAUAUUAACUGGCAAUCAGCUUAUGUGUCUGUGGGUAAGGCUGAACAUAGUGGCUGCUCUCUCAUCUCUCACUUACCACAUUCAUGAAGCAACUUCUGAAUGGAAGGCAUGAUUUUGAUGCUGGACAAUCGUGGAUAAAGUCUCAUGCAUAUAUACCAUGAUGACAUUCUUGAAUCUUGAAACUUAAGGCCCCACGUAGCACUCGGGGCCGAUUAUGUGUUUGCGUACUUGAUAGAUCUUUCAGAUUUUGGUCUUGUUAGUGUGUUGCAGAGGUUAUUUUUUGCAGUUUUCUUUCCAGUUCUGAAUCCUGUUAGUAUAUAUCAAAAUUUAUUAUUUGGGACGUUUUUUUUAA